rnacentral:rRNA from 1 species
GACGAACGCUGGCGGCGUGCUUAACACAUGCAAGUCGAACGGUGAAGCGCCUUCCUUUUUGGUGGGUGUGGAUGAGUGGCGAACGGGUGAGUAACACGUGAGUAACCUGCCCCCUUCUUCUGGAUAACCGCAUGAAAGUGUGGCUAAUACGGGAUAUUCUGGGUCUGUCGCAUGAUGGGUCUGGGAAAGAUAUUGUUUCGGUGGGGGAUGGGCUCGCGGCCUAUCAGCUUGUUGGUGGGGUGAUGGCCUACCAAGGCGGUGACGGGUAGCCGGCCUGAGAGGGUGGACGGUCACACUGGGACUGAGACACGGCCCAGACUCCUACGGGAGGCAGCAGUGGGGAAUAUUGCACAAUGGGCGCAAGCCUGAUGCAGCGACGCCGCGUGCGGGAUGGAGGCCUUCGGGUUGUGAACCCCUUUCGCCAGUGAAGCAGGCCUGCCUCGUUUGUGGGUGGGUUGACGGUAGCUGGAGAAGAAGCGCCGGCUAACUACGUG